ACACAAACUCUUACAGAGCAUUUCUGGUUUCCAGUGCAAAUGUCUUAGUAGCCUUGAAAUCUAACAAAACUAACUAAUAAGCAACUUUCCAGCAAGAUACUGGCGUUUGUUU